AAAGGUUUCAUCUUUUUCCAUAAUAAGUCUACAUAUUAAGUCAACAACUUGUAUUUUUGUAACUGCAUUGACCCUUUUUCAUGUUGAUCUUGCAAUUGAACUUCUGGAGGACCUCUUGGUGUUAUUCAAUGUACUCCUUUUUGUUUUGGGGCCACAUAUGCCAUUUCCUUCAGAUAUUGACCUUUGCAAAUGUUCAUUUCCUAAGGUGGCUGAUCAAGAGUCUUUAGCUGUUUCUUCUAACUUUGUGAUAUGUUCUCAUGGGGCUUCUAGCACAUCCAGUAAUCCGGAUGAAGCAAAGAGAAAGAUUGAUGCAUCUAAAGCUGCCACAAGAAAAGAUGUACUCCAAGAUGCUAAUCUGUAGUUUGCUCCUAGAGAUCUGUCAAAAAUUGUUCUGACAAGUGUUUCAAAUUAUUUUACUGGGGACUGGAUCAGAUUGAAUUUCAGUUGUGGUGUUUCAGAGGUGAAUAAGAUUUCAAAUAACAACUUUCAGAAUAUUGGUUUCUUUGCUGAUUACUUGUAUUCACAAGCAGAUUAUCUACAACUUGUAAACUAUCAAGAUUCGGUAUAUAGGGCUUCCCAAUUUGAACAUUUGGCAGCUGAUUUGUGUUCCCAGCAUGACAACCCCAGAAAGCCAUGAAGCUGCAAUAGAAUCCAUACUCUUGGCUGCAGAAUGUUAUGCCAACUCAUUCUUUAUAAUCGAUUUCAUAUGGAUGCAAUUCAGAGCUUAUGAAUCAGAUGAAAAUCAUUGGAUCCAAAUUCAUGAAUAAAAAUGGAUUAGUGGUGUUUUAUGAAGACCUUAAGAGAUGUAAUGUCAAUCUGGAGACAAUAGCUUAUCUUGAAAGUAAAAGAGAUAUAACUGUUCUACAAAUUCUGCUUCCGCUAAACUGGACCUCGAAUCUGAGAGAAUUUUGGCUCUUUGGAAACCUUGUACAUAUUAUUUUGAAGAUAAUCAGUAGGCUUUAGAAAUAUCACAAGUCGACAUUGAAUCUGAUGUGGCAACUUUGAUUAGGCAGAAUCAACCAUUGCUUUGCCACUUUGUAAUCCUCCUACAGAGUCUCCCCUCUUUCUACUGCAUUCUGCAACUGAGUUAUCCUGUUCUGUAGAGAAUGUUAAUGACAUUAUACUGCAGUCAGCUGCAAAUCUUAGUGGACAA